AUAAAAUAUUCACCCUUAACUCUGGGUGACAGAAUGUAGUGAGUAUAGGCUGAGUUCCAUGUUUGUUUCUGCUAGGCAGGCCCAAGACUCCCACCCCCAAGAAUUCCGAGUGUAUGUGGGAGGGGCUAGCUCCCCAUUCGUCCUGUCCUAUGUGUCAGAGAAUCAAGCCCAUGAGUGACAUGAGCAAUAGCACUGAGCUAACUCAUUCUUGUAGCAAUUUUCUCCUUCUGCAGUACACGCUGCCACAAACCCAGUUACUAACAAAGAACUCUGAUUCGUGAUCUUGUUUCUCUGGAGGUCAGAACCUGAAAUCAUUUCAGGGAAUUAAAACCAAGGUGGUUAGUGAGAUGUGUCCCUUUUCAGGGGUCUAAAAGGCUCUUCCCCACCAUGCAUCUCCUUGUCUUUUUCUAGCUUCCGCUUCUGGAAGCCCCCUUGUAGCCUGGAGUCCCAACCAGCAAUGGUAUUGUUGGCCCUCUGCUCCUAGGGUCCCAGCUCUCUUAUGACCAUCUUACAUUCAUUAGAUCCAUUGUAAUUAAACUGUGUUGGGCUCACCAGGAUAACCCGGGAUAACCUCUCCCAUCUGAAGAUCUUGACUGUAAUCUCAUCUGCAAAAUUCUUUUUGCCGCAUAGAAAAACACAUCCUCCAGCUCUCCGGACUCGGUGCAGACACAUCUGGGGAAUGUGGUGCACUUAUCUGCUCACCUGACUCUUCUAGGAAUGUUGAGGGACCCAAUCAGAGGGCAUGUGUCAGCCAGAGGACUCUCUCUCUCUAACUGGAGCCUCAGAAACAUCUUUGGCUUCAGCCUUCUUGCUCUUCCUUCCUGCUUCUUUUUUCUACUCCACGUUUCCUGACUAAUGGUCCUCUCCUAUUUCAUCUUUCCUUCGUCUUCACAGACACACAGUUCCGGAGAAGAUUCAAUGUUCGCUUCUGAAGGAGAAGAGUCGCUCUGCCCUCGGCAAGCAAAGAAGAAAAAUAAUUUCAGAGCAUGAGUUUACAAACUUUUUUUGCAAAACAAGUUUGGAAAGCUCUGCCGCCAAGUAUUGUCAAUCAGCAUUCCUGGCACGCCUGCGUCGUUAGAUGCUAUGCAAGUCAAGCGGGUCUUUACCGUUGUUGAGACAGCAAAUCUACAGUUUCUGUGCAGUUCCAGAUAUUUGUAAUAAAGCUGCUACUAAAUAUGUAAGUGUGACAUCAGACCCCACGUCGCAAUCCUCUCUCUACAGUGGUGGGGUAGCCAGCCCAGCAAUAUAACUCCGUGGAGUUUUGCUCACGAUAAUAAGAGUAUCAGAGAGGCAGAGGGAGGAACAAAUGCACAACAGGGUGAGACCGGAUGGGCAGCUCGCUCUCCCUGCUGAAGGAGAAACAGCUGGAAAUUCACUGUGGAUGUUAUAGAAAAUAAGAAAGUUUCUUGGAAAUUAAAUUCAGGGAAGAUGAAAUUGAAAGCACAAGGAAAUAAAUAGCGCUCGCUGAUUUAUAUAUAUAUUUUUAAAGCAUGCUUUUAAAAAGCGAUGCUUGGGGAUUGGCCCAGUGGCUUUUGUUUUCCUGAAUAGUUUCUGUCUUUUCUGUUGGUUUGUAAGCACUGUCUGUGUCUUAGGGCGAUUAACUCUCUCCCCCUCAAGCUCCAUAUUUGCUUUACUGGUGCUAGACAUUUAUUUUUUCUGAGUAGAAGUUUUAAAUUUGAGUCUAAUCAGACCUAUCCAUUUUUUUUUCUUUAUGCUUUGAGAAUUCAUUCUUAAGAUCCUGCCCUCCCCGGUCAUUAGAAUUCCACCCGCUAGCAAUUAAAAAUGCAAAUAAAGGGGAUAUUUAAUUUUGCGCCUAUCCGAUCCACUCGGUCAUUUCUUCAACAAACUCGUCAAAUGCCCUCUGUGUGAUGAGCAUGGGAAGAAAAGGCAGGAAAAUACAAAUGAAAGUGCUGCAUGGGGAACGUCUCUAUUGUGUUGAGUCAAGAGAGGCACAAAUAUGAUGAGGCAAACUGCAAUCAGCUAUCUCAAAAUCCACGUCGCUGCUGUGUGUCCUGAAAUGCCGGAAUGGAGGACCAAGCAGGAGGUUUUUUCAACGGAAUAGAAGCAAUGGAAUAUGGAGGAGUGAAAGUGUACACAAUGAGUAAUCAGCCAAUUAGAGGACCUUCCAGCAUGACCUUUGCUUUCAAAUAAUGCUCCCGUGGCCCGACCUCUGCCUUCAUAACUCUUUCAGUAACUUCUGUAUGAGGAGUGACUCGGUGCCUGGAUGCCAGACACUGCCUCGUUUUUUUUCCAGACCUUAUUAGGGCAUGGAACACCCCAGAACUUCCACUUCAUCCUCACCAAAUUGAUGCAACAAUUCUGUCUGAGGGUCUUGGUUCUCUGUGACUAUGCCUACCAACACCUCUGGUUUCUGUUUAUAAAUGUUCAUGAUUUCUGACCCUCUGUGGCCAUGACGAGUUUUAAAGGGGCGUUUCAGCUCCAAAGGAAGACUUUAGCGACAAAAUGUACACAAUGAGUAAUCAGCCAAUUAGAGGACCUUCCAGCAUGACCUUUGCUUUCAAGUGUUCCUAGGGCUUCCGUGGCCAUCUAAGAACAGCAGACACCCAGAGGAUUGGCUGUUCUCCAACAUUCCAGGUCCUUCCUUAUCUGUGCAGGUAAGCUCAACACACUGGAGAUUAUAUGCCAUGCUCCUCUAAAGAACCCAUAGAACAGAAACAACAACAUUCAAAAUUACAAAGAGAAUGAAGAAUGGUGAGCAACACAGGGCAUAAAGAAGAUGGUGUCACCUGUUGCCUAGCAUGUGACAAGUCCUGGGUUUUUAUCACAAGGGCAAGAAAGUUGGGAAGAGGAGAAAUAGAAGGAGGAGAAGGAAGAACCACAAAAGCAAAAGGAAGAGUCACGGAAGUAUUCCCAUGAGGAAAAAUAAAAUUAAAUUAAAAUAUGUAAAAGC
rnacentral:sRNA from 1 species